CCCCUUUCGCUUCCCCUUCCCCUUCCCCAUUCUGCUGCAUUCUUGACGCUUUCUGUUGGGAUCUAGCUAGUUAAUGGUUAGGCCAUACUGUUUUCUGUUGGGAGUACAUCUUUUGUUGCCACUAGCACUAGGUAUAACUUUGAAGGUACUGUCAGGAUUCAGGAAUGUGCAGUGUUGGUAUCCUCAGAUCAUGUUAAGUCAGUCCAAGCUGUUGAGUUGAGACCCAAUUGAGUAAAUGUUUGUCGACCAUCUCACAUGCCACAUAUAUUAAUCAACUCAUGAUAUUAUGAUAAUAUCAACUCAAAAUUUACAGAGCUUCUCUGGUCUGUUCAUGAUAUUAUGAUAAUAGCAUGCAUCACUACUCAAAUUUUGUGCAAGUUUUUGUCAAAGAGGCCAGGUGUUCUGCCUCUUUGAGUUGUACACUUGCAUCAUGAUCAAUUACAUUAUCCCCAAUCCCACCCUUCCUGAUUACCGAUUAGUGCUUUCCAUGCUUUUAUCCAGUACACGACCAACAAAACAAUUGUAAGACAAUUUACUGCUUUUAUAAUUUAAUAUGCACUAUUAUUUAUUAAACAAUAUGUUCCUGAAAUUAUGCAUUUUUUACUCAUUUGGUUCUUUAACUAUGAUUAUCCUCCGUCACUCCUCUACGGCAUGCUUAAAACCUUUGUUUAGUGGUACUUAUUAUCUAUUGGUUUAUGCACUGCCGUUUUUAUGUAAGCCCUCGAGCACGCUGUAGUUGAAUUUAACUGCUUAAACACUACUCUCAAAGUUAGCCGUCUUCAUGUCCUGCCUAGUAGCCACGCUGACCAGCCAAAUCUCAGUGUUAGGGUGAGCACGGAGGUGUCCAGCCUCGUGGCCAGGGGAAAGACCACACUGCCCAUUGCCUCCACCCGGAUCUCCCUGGACGGCUUCUCUCCCUUCUUCGGUCCUACAACAUCUGACUGGUAUCGAAGAAAUGGCAAAGGCAUUCUACUUUGUAGUGGCUGCAGUCUUGCUAUGUCCCACCACCCUCUUCUCCGCUGCAUCGUCCACGCCACAUGCAUCUUCUUCAUCAUAUAAGAAGUGCAUUGUGCUCGUUGAGCGACCUCCACAUGCUGAUAUCAUGGACGAUGAUGCACGCAACAGUUGGUAUGAGUCUUUCCUCCCUAGCAACCUAACUGACUCGGGUAAACCACGCAUGGUCACCACUUUCCAUAUGGUAUAUCACGGCUUUGCCGCCUGGUUAACCGAGGCUGAGCUGGACGUCAUGUCCAAAAAGCCCGGCUUUCGCCGCUGGUUCGAAUCUGAAAGCAUUGACCCAGGUUGGAGCAAGGAACAUACAACAGGAAGGAUUGGGCUGACCCAGGUUGGGAGGAGUAUACAGCACGAUUGUAUUAUAUGCUCACAAAGGUGAUGAUUGAUAAUAAGAAUUAAGCGGAAUAUAUAUAUCGUCUUAAUGCCAAUUUUGCUUAUGAA